AUUUGCUGUAGGCUAGAGAAAUAAAUAAAUGAAUAUAGACUGACCAUUUUUUUGCGGGACAAAUGGUGUUCCUUUUUGGAAUCCUCAUCGCGUAAAACAAUGACGCCUUUGCUUUCGUAAAACAACAUAUUUAGUCGCAUGUUUAUUUUCAUUUUUCAAAUUCCUCAAAGCAACCUAGGCUACAGGUGAUAGAAGGCCUUUUCCAACCAAAGAACAAACUUUGUUUUAAGCGAAAAAUAUAGCCCUACUCAAGAUGGAGUUAGUGUCAGGUUACCGUGACCGGAUGAUUGAGUUCUCCGAGGCUAUGGCACAGUGGUAUCGCUGCUUCCAGACCACCCGUAGGGGGCGCAAAGAACCACAUAGUGAUUUCUGGGGGUACGAUUUUCCCCGAUACCACAUGGACCGCUCACCGUACUGGAUACUGCACCUGCUGGAUUGCGCUGCAACGCCCCCUGCAGCCAUUCCACGGAUGGAACAGGCUGGAGUGGAUCCCUCCGAGCUCAUAAGUAGUGAAGGAGAGAGUGUUCUGAUGGUGACGGAUGCCUCUGGCCUGCCCCUGGGCUUUGACGUGCUGGCCGGUGGCUGGGCGGGGGCGCUGGGUGGGGGCGAGGCGGCGGGUGGAGAUGGGAAGGGGGCCCUGGAGACAAUCCAGAAGAUGGUAGGACUGCUGAGACGCUGCAUGGAGGCCCCCAUGACUGGCGGGUUGCCUCGGAGACCACACAUGCUCCACGUCAAUGACAAGAAGCUUCACAGGUUGCUGAGUAGGUGUGAGAAGGCCCUCACCAUUCUGAAGGUGGUCCUGUGGCCCCAGGCCCUGGGUGACUGGGGCCUCACAGAGGUGGAGCAGGUGGACGGAGGAGAGUCCUUCAGCAUGCGCUGGCCUCCGACCUGCUACUGUCACGUGUGUAAGAAACACUCCUUCCCCAGUCAGCUGAAACCAUGGUAA
rnacentral:lncRNA from 1 species